CCCACAUCCCCACAUUAAUAAAUGGCUCCUGCUCUCGCCACAAGUUGGGCAUCUUGUUCCCACACCCAGUGGAUCCCUGCGGAGCUUAGUUCCCGAGCAUCCUCAAAGACAAUUCUGACCCAGGUUCAUCUUUCGAAAAGGCAAAUCCCUGCUCCUGAGUCGCCAGCAGUUUCCCGCCACUCUCAGGCCCCACAAGAUCUGGCCCCUGCCAGCCUCUCCCAUCACACACAACGGUGCCGCCUGGGUUGCCAUCCACAGCAGCUAUCCUUUGGGCUCACAUCCCAUCCUAGGCCUGUGCACAUCCGGCCUCUGCCUGCCUCAUCAACCCUUGGCUGAGUCCCACAGCUCAGCGUACUUGACAACAACAAGGCUUCCUGACUUCACCUACAGCAGGGCAGGGGGUGUAUCUGAGUUACUCACUGCCUAGCGCCCCCAACAGCGGGCCAGCACAUGGCCUUGUCAAAACACCCCUGAUGUCAAAAUGGCAGCAUCAGUCUAUCCUGUGCCCCUGCAGGGAGUAGGAAUAACAGGUUUGUCGACUGAAAUAAAUGAUAU